rnacentral:rRNA from 1 species
ACGCAGCGAAAUGCGAUACGUAGUGUGAAUUGCAGAAUUCAGUGAAUCAUCGAAUCUUUGAACGCACAUUGCGCCCUUUGGUAUUCCAAAGGGCAUGCCUGUUCGAGCGUCAUUUGUACCCUCAAGCUUUGCUUGGUGUUGGGCGUUUUUUGUCUUUGGUUGCCAAAGACUCGCCUUAAAAGGAUUGGCAGCCGGCCUACUGGUUUCGCAGCGCAGCACAUUUUUGCGCUUGCAAUCAGCAAAAGAGGACGGCAAUCCAUCAAGACUCCUUCUCACGUUUGACCUCGGAUCAGGUAGGGAUACCCGCUGAACUUAAGCAUAUCAAUAAGCGGAGGAA